CAUCCGCGUCGUGCGCGUUGCGUCCUGGCCCGUGGAGUGAUUACGGGUUCGGAUAAUAUAAAGACAACAUGAACCAGAGCGGCACCGGCAGCGGCAUCUUCAGCGUGACCGGCGCCGGGGAGAACUUCCGGCCGGCCUGCAAGAAGUGCGGCUACCCGGGCCACCUGACGUUCCAGUGCCGCAACUUCAUCCAGGUCACCUCCGCCCAGGACUGCGUGUUGGACGUCAGCUCUACCAGUUCGGAUGAGUCGGACGACGAGACGCCGCUGAAACUUCUAAACAAAGAGGAGCUGGAGAAGCUGAGGAAGCGGCACAAGAAGAAAAAGAAGAAGAAGGAAAAGAAAAAGAAAGAAAAAAAGAAGAAAAAGGAAGCGCAGUCAUCGGAUUCUGAUUCAGAUGAGGAUCGUAAGAAGCGGCAUAAAAAGAAACAAAGGUCUGGCUCGACAGAAUCUGACUCUGACGAGGCUUCCCGAAAGAAGCGGAGGGUAAAAGAUGGCUCGAAAGGUCGCCACGACGCGAGCCCCGCGCCGCGCUCUGCCGACAGCCACCAGCGACACAGAGGGCAUCACGAUCGCCGCUCCGCCUCGCCGACAGAUGGCAGGACCUCCGAGCGGGGGUCGCGGCUGGGCGCCCCCAGCCGGCGCUCGCCGGUGACGGAGCGGGUCGGUGGAGCGGCCGACCACCGGCCGCGGUCCGACCACAGGGGACGGCCCAGGUCUGGCAGCCGCGGGAGAGAGGCGAAGGGGAGACGCUCGAGGUCUGUGAGUGGUGGACGGCGAGGACAUCGGAGACCGUCGAGGUCAGGAAGCCGCGGCAAAGAUAUGAAGAAGAGGCGGUCUAGGUCUGCGAGUGGCGGGAAACCAGCGGACAGGAGACGACCGAGGUCUCGGAGUCGCGACAGAGACGCGAAGAGGGGGCGCUCAAGAUCGGGCAGUGGCGGAAGACAUCGGGCAGUGGCGAAGAGACGUUCGGGGUCGAGAAGUCGAGGUGGAGAUGUGAGAAAACGGCGUUCAAGAUCGGUAAGCAACAGGAGAGAGGACAUUAAGGGACGCUCACGAUCCAGGAGUCGUGAAAGAGAAGCUAGGAAAAUACCUUCAGGGGUCGCGAGCGGCGGGGACGCACGCAGGAGGCGGUCGAGAUCCAGGAGUGGCGGCGGUGACAUGCGAAAGAGACGCUCGAGAUCCAGGGGUCGUGGCGAAGACGUGCGAAAGAGACGCUCGAGAUCCAGGAGUCGUGGCGAAGACGUGCGAAAGAGACGCUCGAGAUCCAGGAGUCGUGACGGAAAUGUGCGAAGGAGACGCUCGAGAUCCGUCAGUGGUGCGAGACGAGACGACGCUGGACACGCUGGGUCAAGGUCGGGAGACCGCGGUCGAGGUGGGCACCAGGGUGACUCCGCUGCCAGAGGUGGCGGUCAUGGUGAUCGGAGGAGCCCCUCAACUGACAGCUCGAGCUCAAGUGCAAGUUCCAGCUCGUGAGCUAGCCAUCGUGAACACUAAAUGGUGGCUGGUGUCAUUUGUCUGUCACUUGAGGGCUGUUGAUGGAGAACAUUCUCGGUGUUGAGACUUCUCCGACUGAAUGUCGCCUAGUGGCUUCUCGACACUGCGGUGGAACACUCUGGAAUGCUGCAUGCGGCUGAUGGGUUGCCGCUGGGUGGCUAUGGACCAACGCGAAAGCUACGGGGUUGUCGUACCGCUGGGUGGCUAUGGACUAACGCGAAAGCUAAAAAGGUGGUUGUCAUUGCGGUUGUCGUGCCCCUGGGUGGAUAUGGACCAACGCGACAGCUACGGCGGUUGUGCCGCUGGGUGGCCAUGGACCAACGCGAAAGCUACGGUGGUUGUGGCGGUUGUCGUGGCCGCGGAGUGCUGGCAGGGCUCGAGUCACACGUCCCAGGGUGGAAUCCCGCGUAGGUGUACUGAUAUGUGAUGAUGCUUGGUGUAUUUUGAUACCAGUGCGAUGACUGAAUUCUGUCCCACUUUGUUUUCCUUGGAACUGCUGAGCAGAGUGCCGCCUCGCAACGCCGUUUGUUACCCCCUCCCCCCACUAUCUUGAGGGGCUGCUUCCCGCUGAGUUGUUUUCUCGAUUCCUCGAGUGUUGCGAGAUCUUGCGCGGUAGAGGGCUUUUAGCAGAGUUCUGCGGGCACAGAAAACGCGCCGAAACAAAGUCCUUUGCAUUAUCAGAUAGAGCAAGUACAACACAAUGCACAUACAAUACGAUUGGUCGCGAGCGCAAUCCUACACAUCCCUGUCAUGUGCUGGUGCGAAGCGAUUUGUACCCAUAUGAAACGUAAUACACCACUAUGUAAAUUGA
rnacentral:misc_RNA from 1 species